rnacentral:piRNA from 1 species
UACAUAAUUGUUGAAAGGUAUGCUGAGA